rnacentral:rRNA from 1 species
AUACGGGGGAUGCAAGCGUUAUCCGGAUUUAUUGGGUUUAAAGGGUGCGUAGGCGGUUUGCUAAGCGGGAGGUGAAAUGCCGGCGCUCAACGUCGGAAGUGCCUCCCGAACUGGUGGACUGGAAUGACUCUGCCGUGGGAGGAAUGUGUAGUGUAGCGGUGAAAUGCUUAGAGAUUAUACAGAACACCGAUUGCGAAGGCAUCUCACGAAGGGUUGAUUGACGCUGAGGCACGAAAGCGUGGGGAUCAAACAGGAUUAGAUACCCUGGUAGUCCACGCAGUAAACGAUGAUGGCUAACCGCUGGUUUUUUCGGAUCAGUGGCCAAGCGAAAGCGAUAAGCCAUCCACCUGGGGAGUACGACCGCGAGGUUGAAACUCAAAUGAAUUGACGGGG